rnacentral:lncRNA from 1 species
UUUACAAGUCACCACCAACAACAACACCAGUCUACAAGUCUCCACCUCCACCAACUCCAGUUUACAAGUCACCCCCACCACACAAGAAGUCAUACUAUCCUUCACACACACCAAUUUACAAGUCAACACCACCACCGCCACCCAAGAAGUCAUACUAUCCUCCACACACCCCAGUUUACAAGUCUCCACCACCACCAACUCCAGUUUACAAGUCUCCACCACCACCCAAAAAGCCAUACUACCCUCCACACACCCCAGUUCAUAAGUCUCCACCACCAAUUCCGGUGUACAAGUCGCCGCCACCACCUAAGAGGUCAUACCAUCCUACACCAGUUUACAAGUCACCACCACCACCACCAACGAAGCCAUACCAUCCUACACCAGUUUACAAGUCACCAACAACAACAACAAAGCCAUACCAUCCUUCACCAGCACCAUACCAUCCUGCACCAGUUGACAAGUUUCCACCACCAUCAAAUCCUGUUUACAAAUCUCCACCACCACCAGUGAAGCCAUACCAUCCUUCACCAACUCCGUACCAUCCUACACCAGUUUACAAGUCUUCACCACCACCAACUCCAGUCUAUAAGUCUCCUCCA